rnacentral:rRNA from 1 species
GGUAAGGGCAUUUGGUGAAUGCCUUGGCACUCAGAGGCGAAGAAGGACGUGAUACACUGCGAAAAGCUGCGGGGAGUUGUGAAUAAGCUAUGAUCCGCGGAUAUCCGAAUGGGGGAACCCACAGAGAGAUCUGUAUCUUAUGAUGAAUAAAUAGUUAUAAGAAGCGAACGCAGGGAACUGAAACAUCUAAGUACCUGUAGGAAAGGAAAUCAACCGAGACUCCGAAAGUAGUGGCGAGCGAAAUCGGAUCAGCCGAUGGAUUGUAUAAUAAGAACUAGAAUGGCGUGGGAAAGCCAACCGAAGAAGGUGAGAGUCCUGUAUAGGUAGAAAGUGAUACAAUUCUUGAGUAGGGCGGAGCACGAGGAAUUCUGUCUGAAAAUAGGGAGACCACUCUCUAAGGCUAAGUACUCCUGAGUGACCGAUAGUGAACAAGUACCGUGAGGGAAAGGUGAAAAGCACCCCGAUAAGGGGAGUGAAAGAGAACCUGAAACCGGAUGCCUACAAGCAGUCGGAGGGGCAAUAAGCCCUGACGGCGUACCUUUUGUAUAAUGGGUCAGCGACUUAAUUUACGUAGCAAGCUUAAGCCGAUAGGUGUAGGCGCAGCGAAAGCGAGUGUUAAUAGCGCGUUAAGUUACGUGGAUUAGACCCGAAACCGAGUGAUCUAGCCAUGAUCAGGCUGAAGGUUGGGUAACACCAACUGGAGGGCCGGACCCACUUCUGUUGAAAAAGAAGGGGAUGAAUUGUGGCUAGGGGUGAAAGGCCAAUCAAACUCGGAAAUAGCUGGUUCUCCGCGAAAACUAUUUAGGUAGUGCGGUAAACGGACACCGUUAGGGGUAGAGCACUGAAAGAACGAAGGAGGAGCGAUCCUUACUGACUUUUAUCAAACUCCGAAUACUAACGAGUGAUAUUUACCAGACAGACUGUAGGUGCUAAGGUCUACGGUCGAGAGGGAAAGAGCCCAGACCGCCAAUUAAGGUCCCAAAAUUAUGGCUAAGUGGUAAAGGAAGUGAAUUGUCCAAAACAGUCAGGAGGUUGGCUUAGAAGCAGCCAUCCUUUAAAGAAAGCGUAAUAGCUCACUGAUCUAAACAAGACGAUUUGCGCCGAAGAUGUAACGGGGCUAAAGCCAUAUACCGAAGUUGCGGAAUUGCGUUGAAGAGACGUAAUUGGUAGCGGAGCGUUCUGUAAGCCGGAGAAGCUGUACCGUAAGGUAUGGUGGAGGUAUCAGAAGUGAGAAUGCUGACAUGAGUAGCGAAAAGAAGUGUGAGAGACACUUCCGCUGAAAGUCCAAGGUUUCCUGCGUAAAGCUAAUCUGCGCAGGGUUAGUCGGCCCCUAAGGCGAGGCUGAGAAGCGUAGUCGAUGGGAAGCAGGUUAAUAUUCCUGCACCGGCAUGGAGAUGACGAAUUCAGAAAGUUGUAUGAGAUUAACGGAUUUUGAAUGCAGCGAAUGAGUUCCAGGAAAUAGCCCAUGCUAAGACCGUACCCGAAACCGACACAGGUGGACAGGUAGAGCAUACCAAAGCGCUUGAGAGAACUAUGUUGAAGGAACUAGGCAAAAUACUUGCGUAACUUCGGGAUAAGCAAGCCCCAUUGAAAGGCAACUUUUGGUGGGGGGCACAUACUAGGGGGUAGCGACUGUUUACUAAAAACACAGGGCUCUGCUAAAUUGAAAGAUGAAGUAUAGGGUCUGACGCCUGCCCGGUGCUGGAAGGUUAAGGAGAGAUGUGCAAGCAUCGAACUGAAGCCCCAGUAAACGGCGGCCGUAACUAUAACGGUCCUAAGGUAGCGAAAUUCCUUGUCGGGUAAGUUCCGACCUGCACGAAUGGCGUAACCAGUACCCGCGGUUAGACGGAAAGACCCCGUGAACCUUUACUAUAGCUUUGCAGUGGUAUUAGGUGACAGAUGUGUAGGAUAGGUGGGAUGCUAUGAAGGAAUGGCGCUAGUUGUUCUGGAGCAGACGUUGAAAUACCACCCUUUUGUUAUUUGAUAUCUAACCUGCUCCCGUAAGCCGGGAGAGGGACCCUGCAUGGUGGGUAGUUUGACUGGGGCGGUCGCCUCCCAAAGAGUAACGGAGGCGCGCAAAGGUUAGCUCAGACUGGUCGGAAAUCAGUCGUCGAGUGCAAUGGCAUAAGCUAGCCUGACUGCGAGAGAGACAUUUCGAGCAGACACGAAAGUGGGUCAUAGUGAUCCGGUGGUCCCGAGUGGAAGGGCCAUCGCUCAACGGAUAAAAGGUACUCCGGGGAUAACAGGCUGAUUCCGCCCAAGAGUUCACAUCGACGGCGGAGUUUGGCACCUCGAUGUCGGCUCAUCACAUCCUGGGGCUGGAGAAGGUCCCAAGGGUUCGGCUGUUCGCCGAUUAAAGUGGUACGCGAGCUGGGUUUAGAACGUCGUGAGACAGUUCGGUCCCUAUCUGCCGUGGGUGUAGGAUACUUGAAAGGAUUUGUCCUUAGUACGAGAGGACCGGGAUGAACAUACCUCUGGUGUGCCAGUUGUGACGCCAGUCGCAACGCUGGGUAGCUAAGUAUGGAAGGGAUAACCGCUGAAUGCAUCUAAGCGGGAAACCCACCUUAAAACUAGGUAUCCCCAUUAGAACCGUAGUAGACAACUACGUCGAUAGGUUGGGUGUGUAAGCGUGGCAACGCGUUUAGCUAACCAAUACUAAUAGUUCGAUUGGCUUGAU